GAUGAAGAACGUAGCGAAAUGCGAUACUUGGUGUGAAUUGCAGAAUCCCGUGAACCAUCGAGUCUUUGAACGCAAGUUGCGCCCGAAGCCACUAGGCCGAGGGCACGCCUGCCUGGGCGUCACACGCCGUUGCCCCCCCAUCUACUCCUUCGGGAUUGCGGGGGGGCGGAUGAUGGCCUCCUGUGCGCCUAGCCGCGCGGUUGGCAUAAAUACCAAGUCCUCGGCGACGCACGCCACGACAAUCGGUGGUUGCGAAACCUCGGUUGCCCGUCGUGUGCGUUCGUCGCGCAUCGAGGGCUCGAAAAAAUGCUCGGCUCCGGCUGGGCUUUCAACGCGACCCUAGGUCAGGCGGGGUUACCCGCUGAAUUUAAGCAUAUCAAUAAGCGGAGGA
rnacentral:misc_RNA from 1 species